rnacentral:rRNA from 1 species
GAUGAACGCUGGCGGCGUGCCUAAUACAUGCAAGUCGAGCGAACGGACGAGAAGCUUGCUUCUCUGAUGUUAGCGGCGGGCGGGUGAGUAACACGUGGAUAACCUACCUAUAAGACUGGGAUAACUUCGGGAAACCGGAGCUAAUACCGGAUAAUAUUUUGAACCGCAUGGUUCAAAAGUGAAAGACGGUGUUGCUGUCACUUAUAGAUGGAUCCGCGCUGCAUUAGCUAGUUGCUAAGGGAACGGCUUACCAAGGCAACGGUGCAUAGCAGACCUGAGAGGGUGAUCGGCCACACUGGAACUGGGACACGGUCCAGACUCCUACGGGAGGCACCAGUACGGAAUCUUCCGCGAUGGGCGAAAGCCUGACGGAGCAACGCCGCGUGAGUGAUGAAGGUCUUCGGAUCGUAAAACUCUGUUAUUAGGGAAGAACAUAUGUGUAAGUAACUGUGCACAUCUUGACGGUACCUAAUCAGAAAGCCCCGGCUAACUACGUG